GACGAACGCUGGCGGCGUGCUUAACACAUGCAAGUCGAACGGAAAGGCCCUGCUUUUGUGGGGUGCUCGAGUGGCGAACGGGUGAGUAACACGUGAGUAACCUGCCCUUGACUUUGGGAUAACUUCAGGAAACUGGGGCUAAUACCGGAUAGGAGCUCCUGCUGCAUGGUGGGGGUUGGAAAGUUUCGGCGGUUGGGGAUGGACUCGCGGCUUAUCAGCUUGUUGGUGGGGUAGUGGCUUACCAAGGCUUUGACGGGUAGCCGGCCUGAGAGGGUGACCGGCCACAUUGGGACUGAGAGACGGCCCAGACUCCUACGGGAGGCAGCAGUGGGGAAUAUUGCACAAUGGGCGGAAGCCUGAUGCAGCAACGCCGCGUGCGGGAUGACGGCCUUCGGGUUGUAAACCGCUUUGGCCUGUGACGAAGCGUGAGUGACGGUAAUGGGUAAAGAAGCACCGGCUAACUACGUG
rnacentral:rRNA from 1 species